AUAUUAUUUUAUUUUGGUUAAUAUUUUUAUUAUUAUUUUAUUUUACAUGUAAAUUUUUGUGUGAAUUUAUUUAAUUUUUAAAAAAUUAUUUAAUUGUUUUAUUCGCAGUGAUUAAUAUUAAUAUAAAAAAGAAAUUUUGUAUUAGUAAUAAUAUAUAGUAUUGGUAAAAUUUGUGCCAGCUACCGCGGUUAUACAAAUAAUACAAAUAAAAAUUUUUAGUAUUAGUUAAAUUGAUCAAAUUUUAAUAUAAAUAUAGAUUUAUUAGGUGAAAUUUUUAAAUUUAUUUAUUGUUAAUUUAAAAAUAAUUUAAGCUAUAAACUUUUUAUAAUAAACUAGGAUUAGAUACCCUAUUAUUAAAAAUAAAUAUGAAAUUACUAAAGUAGUAUUAGUUAUAUUCUUAAAAUUUAAAAAAUUUGGCGGUAUUUUAGUCUAUUCAGAGGAAUCUGUCCUGUAAUUGAUAGUCCACAUUGAACCUUACUUAAAUUUGUUUAAUUUGUAUAUCGCCGUCAUCAGAAUAUAUUAUAAGAUAAAAUUUUCUUAAUAUUUAAUAAAAUAAUAUGUCAGGUCAAGGUGCAGUUUAUAUUUAAGUAGAGAUGGAUUACAAUAAAUUUAUUUAAUAUGGAUGAUUUUUUGAAAUAAAAAUUUGAAAGUGGAUUUGAAAGUAAUAUAAAAUAGGUUAUUUAUAUGAUUUUAGCUCUAAAAUAUGCACAUAUCGCCCAUCGUUCUUAUUUUUAAAAUAAGAUAAGUUGUAACAUAGUAGAUGUACUGGAAAGUGUAUCUAGAAAGA
rnacentral:ncRNA from 1 species